rnacentral:rRNA from 1 species
AACGAACGCUGGCGGCAUGCCUAACACAUGCAAGUCGAACGAGACUUCGGUCUAGUGGCGGACGGGUGAGUAACGCGUAGGAACCUGCCAAGCAGUGGGGAAUAACAGCUGGAAACGGCUGCUAAUACCGCAUACGCCCUUCGGGGGAAAGAUUUAUCGCUGUUUGAGGGUCCUGCGUUCGAUUAGCUAGUUGGUGAGGUAACGGCCCACCAAGGCGACGAUCGAUAGCUGGUCUGAGAGGAUGAUCAGCCACACUGGGACUGAGACACGGCCCAGACUCCUACGGGAGGCAGCAGUGGGGAAUAUUGGACAAUGGGGGAAACCCUGAUCCAGCAAUGCCGCGUGCGUGAAGAAGGCCUUAGGGUUGUAAAGCGCUUUCACCUGUGAUGAUGAUGACAGUAGCAGGAGAAGAAGCCCCGGCUAACUCCGUGCCAGCAGCCGCGGUAAAGUCAG